CUACGGGUCGCUGCAGUGGGGAAUAUUGCACAAUGAAGGAAACUCUGAUGCAGCAACGCCGCGUGGAGGAUGACACUUUUCGGAGCGUAAACUCCUUUUAUAUAGGAAGGAGAUGACGGUACUAUAUGAAUAAGCGCCGGCUAACUCCGUGCCAGCAGCCGCGGUAAUACGGAGGGCGCAAGCGUUACUCGGAAUCACUGGGCGUAAAGAGCGUGUAGGCGGAUUAAAAAGUCAGAAGUGAAAUCCUAUAGCUUAACUAUAGAACUGCUUCUGAAACUCUUAAUCUAGAAUAUGGGAGAGGUAGAUGGAAUUUCUGGUGUAGGGGUAAAAUCCGUAGAGAUCAGAAGGAAUACCGAUUGCGAAGGCGAUCUACUAGAACAUUAUUGACGCUGAGACGCGAAAGCGUGGGGAGCAAACAGGAUUAGAUACCCCCGUAGUC
rnacentral:rRNA from 1 species